rnacentral:rRNA from 1 species
AUGUUAGCUCUGGAGGCGAUUUUUGGAGACAAGAUCUGCAUUUUUGGUGAAAAAAAGGCUGGACCUCGGUCUUUCCAGAUCCAGGUGUAUUGUGAAAUUCCAGAUGGUAUCACUGUAAUGUUAGAACCAUUCCAGGGUGAUGAUGACGACCCAAAGAGCCAGUUCCUUGAAAACUUCAGUGUCGAGCACUUGGCUCCGCUAUCACUGACAUGCCUCAUGCCUCCAUCGUACCCAAGCCAUCAUCCUCCACACUUCACUCUCGGUGUACAAUGGUUGGAUAAUGUGAAGGUCUCCUCCCUUUGUCACAUGCUCGACUCGAUCUGGGCGCAACAAGCUGAAUAG